rnacentral:rRNA from 1 species
GGGUCAGUAGGUUGGUCGUGCCACCGGUACGUACUGGUCUCACUGAUUCCUCCUUCCUGAAGAACCGUAAUGCCAUUAAUUAGGUGAUGCGGGGAAACAGGACUGUUACUUUGAAAAAAUUAGAGUGUUUAAAGCAAGCUAACGCUUGAAUACAUUAGCAUGGAAUAAUGAAAUAGGACGAUCGAUCCUAUUUUGUUGGUUUCUAGGAUUGACGUA